GCAUUCUGUAGCAAUACAGGGUGUGGGCGCGUGGCGAACGGGUGCGUAACACGUGGAUAACCUUCCUUCAGGUGGGGAAUAACCCAGUGAAAAUUGGGCUAAUACCGCAUAACAUGACGAUGCCACAUGGUGUUGUCUUCAAAGCCGCAAGGCGCCAGAAGAGGGAUCCGCGGCCGAUUAGCUUGUUGGCGAGGUAAUGGCUCACCAAGGCUUUGAUCGGUAGCCGGACUGAGAGGUUGGCCGGCCACACUGGAACUGAGACACGGUCCAGACUCCUACGGGAGGCAGCAGUGGGGAAUCUUGCACAAUGGACGAAAGUCUGAUGCAGCAACGCCGCGUGGGGGAUGAAGCUUUUCGGAGUGUAAACCCCUUUCGACCCGGAAGAAUGCCCGCAAGGGUUUGACGGUACGGGUAUAAGAAGCCCCGGCUAACUACGUGCCAGCAGCCGCGGUAAUACGUAGGGGGCCAGCGUUGCUCGGAAUAACUGGGCGUAAAGGGUCCGUAGGCGGUGCGGCAAGUUGGGAGUGAAAUCUCUGGGCUUAACCCAGAGGCUGCUUUCAAAACUGCCGUGCUAGAGUGCGGGAGAGGCGAGUGGAAUUG
rnacentral:rRNA from 1 species